AUUGAACGCUGGCGGCAGGCCUAACACAUGCAAGUCGAGCGGAUGAAGGGAGCUUGCUCCUGGAUUCAGCGGCGGACGGGUGAGUAAUGCCUAGGAAUCUGCCUGGUAUUGGGGGAUAACGUCCGGAAACGGGCGCUAAUACCGCAUACGUCCUGAGGGAGAAAGUGGGGGAUCUUCGGACCUCACGCUAUCAGAUGAGCCUAGGUCGGAUUAGCUAGUUGGUGGGGUAAAGGCCUACCAAGGCGACGAUCCGUAACUGGUCUGAGAGGAUGAUCAGUCACACUGGAACUGAGACACGGUCCAGACUCCUACGGGAGGCAGCAGUGGGGAAUAUUGGACAAAGGGCGAAAGCCUGAUCCAGCCAUGCCGCGUGUGUGAAGAAGGUCUUCGGAUUGUAAAGCACUUUAAGUUGGGAGGAAGGGCAGUAAGUUAAUCCCUUGCUGUUUUGACGUUACCAACAGAAUAAGCAACGGCUAACUUCGUG
rnacentral:rRNA from 1 species